CUUAGGAACCUGCCUUCGCAAUUGGUGUUCUAAGUAAUAUCUAUGCAUUUCACCGCUACACUACUUAUUCCAGCUACUUCAACAACACUCAAGACAUGCAGUAUCAAUGGCAGUUUCACAGUUAAGCUGUGAGAUUUCACCACUGACUUACACAUCCGCCUACGGACCCUUUAAACCCAAUAAAUCCGGAUAACGCUUGCACCCUCCGUAUUACCGCGGCUGCUGGCACGGAGUUAGCCGGUGCUUAUUCGUAUAGUACCUUCAGCUACCCUCACGAGGGUAGGUUUAUCCCUAUACAAAAAAAGUUUACAACCCAUAGGGCCGUCGUCCUUCACGCGGGAUGGCUGGAUCAGGCUCUCACCCAUUGUCCAAUAUUCCUCACUGCUGCCUCCCGUAGGAGUCUGGUCCGUGUCUCA
rnacentral:rRNA from 1 species